rnacentral:rRNA from 1 species
AUUGAACGCUGGCGGCAUGCUUUACACAUGCAAGUCGAACGGUAACAGGUUAAGCUGACGAGUGGCGAACGGGUGAGUAAUGCAUCGGAACGUGCCCGAUCGUGGGGGAUAACGCAGCGAAAGCUGCGCUAAUACCGCAUACGAUCUGAGGAUGAAAGCGGGGGACCGUAAGGCCUCGCGCGAUCGGAGCGGCCGAUGUCAGAUUAGGUAGUUGGUGGGGUAAAGGCUCACCAAGCCGACGAUCUGUAGCUGGUCUGAGAGGACGACCAGCCACACUGGGACUGAGACACGGCCCAGACUCCUACGGGAGGCAGCAGUGGGGAAUUUUGGACAAUGGGCGCAAGCCUGAUCCAGCAAUGCCGCGUGCAGGAAGAAGGCCUUCGGGUUGUAAACUGCUUUCGUACGGAGCGAAAAGGCUCUCUCUAAUACAGGGGGCUCAUGACGGUACCGUAAGAAUAAGCACCGGCUAACUACGUGCAGCCGCCGCCGUAA